AGUCAGAAGGGGAGCCUGGAGACCAGGGCGGGUCCGGACUACAGUCAGCAGAGAGAAAUCUUUGGGAAAGCCUCCUAGUAUCCAAGAGAGAUGCACACAGACUCAGAAGCUCCUGCCCCAGUCAUCAGCUGUCCCCUCCCCAGGGGUACUUAGAGCUGUAGCCGAUUGGACCCCGGCAUCGGGACUCCUCUUACCUGCCCAGCCCGGGUGCGCGCUCAGCCCCAGCACCAGAGGUAGGAGCAGGAGGAGGCGAUGGCUGCACCGCCCCAUGGCUGAGCGACCGGAAAGCCCCGUCCCAGAGACCCAGGUGGUGGGCCCGAGGCGCCGGACGCCCGGAGGCCGA